AGCGUAGGCGGUCUGGUAAGUCAGAUGUGAAAUCCCGGGGCUCAACCCCGGAACUGCAUCCGAUACUGCCUGACUUGAGUAAUGGAGGGGUAGCUGGAAUUCUCGGUGUAGCAGUGAAAUGCGUGGAUAUCGAGAGGAACACUCGUGGCGAAGGCGAGCUACUGGACAUUUACUGACGCUGAGGCUCGAAGGCCGGGGGAGCGAAAG
rnacentral:rRNA from 1 species